GUACAUUAAGUAAUGCGCCUUUUUUGCCACAAAUUUUUUUAUUUUAUUUUAAUACUUAUUGCUAUCAUUAGAAAGAAUAUACAAACAUUUUUCCGGAUUAAUUACGUAGCAUAUUGAAAGGUUAAAUUAGAAAUGUAUAAGGAUUUAUGGUUGCAAAGUUAUAAGUGUUAAAAGAAUAUUUAUUUGAUAAUAUUUAAUAAAUUAUAAAGUAGAAUAAGAUGCUUCAGUUAAUCAAUGGUUUUGUAAAAAGAUUGUGCGUAAAACCAUUUCCUAAAAUAUCUAUUGGCCUACAUAGUCAACGGAUCGGUCCAAUUUGAUUGCUGAGAGCCUGAUACCGUCCAUUUUUCAAUGAGAAGACUGACUAAAAAAAUUCUAAAGAACUCAUAUAUUCACUAAUACCACUCCACAGCAAGCCAGCCAAAUUUUCCCACCUAAAUUUCAAUUAUUGCAUUGCUUCCCCCUUGACAUAUGAUCUUUACUGUUUUGAAGGAAGCUAUUCUGCAUACAAUUUAUACUCAAACAAACAAUAUAAUAAUAAUGCAAAUCUAACUUUUAACAGGCGAAGCACUUUUUUGACUUAACAGGCGAAGUACUUUUUGGCGAAUAAUUCCUCAAAAGUGACCAUAGAAACGUAAAUCUCCACCAUUUGCAAAGCGAUCUCACAUUUGCAACACAAAAAAUUCACAAUUGACAUUCAUAUUACCACGCACACUCGAAGCAAAGUGAAAUCACGCUUAGA
rnacentral:misc_RNA from 1 species